GGAGGCGAGGGAACAAGUACGAAGGUUUUAGAUAAAAAACCAGACAUGUCACGUGACCACCACGUGACCACAUGACGUCGUGCUCCCUGUGGGUUCUGAUGUCCGCCGUGACCUCGCUUCGCCUGAACUUCUGAAGUGAAAACCGUCCGUUCUUCAAGUCAACUCCUUUAAACAAGGUUUGCUGCCGUUUCCUGUAACUUCUAUAUUGCUGAAUUCAGUAGUCACAAUAUGACAACUGAACAUUUUCAUGUAUUUUUAAAUGGGAAUGACAAACCCAAAAUAUAAUUGCAGCACUUUAGAGAAUACCUUGAAUUUACCACAAAUGUAUAAUUAUUAAUUAUUGUAGUUUGUAAUUUCAAUAAUUUAAGUUGUAAUGUAGUGGACAUUUUAA